UUUACCGUACAAUCACGGUAUCUUACCGUACAAUAACGGUAAAUUACUGUACAAUCGCGGUACUUUGCCGUAAAAUCUCCGUAAUUUACGGUGUCAUACUGUAUUACGGUUAAUCGCUGUACGUACCGUACUCUACCGUACCCUACCGUAAAUUUGCCGUACAUUACCGUAGUCUACCGCACUUUGGAUCCAUCAGGGUAUUUAAAACCGUUGAUUGA